rnacentral:rRNA from 1 species
AUUGAACGCUGGCGGCAGGCCUAACACAUGCAAGUCGAACGAGCGGCGGACGGGUGAGUAAUGUCUGGGAAUCUGCCCGAUAGAGGGGGAUAACUACUGGAAACGGUGGCUAAUCCCGCAUACUAUCGGAUGUGCCCAUAUGGGAUUAGCUCGUAGGUGGGGUAAAGGCUCACCUAGGCGACGAUCCCUAGCUGGUCUGAGAGGAUGACCAGCCACACUGGAACUGAGACACGGACCAGACUCCUACGGGAGGCAGCAGUGGGGAAUAUUGAACAAUGGGCGCAAGCCUGAUGCAGCCAUGCCGCGUGUAUGAAGAAGGCCUUAGGGUUGUAAAGUACUUUCAGCGGGGAGGCGUUACCCGCAGAAGAAGCACCGGCUAACUCCGUGCCAGCAGCCGCGGUAAUAC